rnacentral:pre_miRNA from 1 species
AUGCUAGAUCAAGAACAAAUAUCAUGUAAAUUGCUUUUUUACAUCAAAUACAGGAUAUUCGUUCUUGAGCUU